AACGAACGCUGGCGGCAUGCCUAACACAUGCAAGUCGAACGAGACCUUCGGGUCUAGUGGCGCACGGGUGCGUAACGCGUGGGAACCUUCCCUUAGGGUCGGAAUAACUCCCCGAAAGGGGUGCUAAUACCGGAUAAUGUCUUCGGACCAAAGAUUUAUCGUCUUUGGAUGGGCCCGCGUUGGAUUAGCUAGUUGGUAGGGUAAAAGCCUACCAAGGCGACGAUCCAUAGCUGGUCUGAGAGGAUGAUCAGCCACACUGGGACUGAGACACGGCCCAGACUCCUACGGGAGGCAGCAGUGGGGAAUAUUGGACAAUGGGCGAAAGCCUGAUCCAGCAAUGCCGCGUGAGUGAUGAAGGCCUUAGGGUUGUAAAGCUCUUUUACCCGGGAUGAUAGUGACAGUACCGGGAGAAUAAGCUCCGGCUAACUCCGUG
rnacentral:rRNA from 1 species